CAGUAGCCGCGGGAAUACGAAGGGUGCAAGCGUUACUCGGAAUUACUGGGCGUAAAGCGUGCGUAGGUGGUGGUUUAAGUCCGUUGUGAAAGCCCUGGGCUCAACCUGGGAAUUGCAGUGGAUACUGGGUCACUAGAGUGUGGUAGAGGAUAGUGGAAUUUCCGGUGUAGCAGUGAAAUGCGUAGAGAUUGGAAGGAACAUCUGUGGCGAAGGCGACUAUCUGGGCCAACACUGACACUGAGGCACGAAAGCGUGGGGAGCAAACAGGAUUAGAUACCCGAGUAGUCCCUGUCUCUUAUAC
rnacentral:rRNA from 1 species